CACAGUUAACAAUUGGUGACCCUGACGUGAUUCUCGUUGGACAGAAGAGACUACACAACCAGCUGUUUUCCGGAGACGUGGCACCCGUUCGACACAACGAGCUCGAAUACUUGGUAAGAGGAAACCUGUUAAAUCAAAUUCUUCAUAGUUUAUGCAGUACAAAAUAGGUUUGUGUUGGACGGAGGCCAGCGGAUCCUGAAAAUAGCUGUGCAUUUAAUGUUAAAACAACCAAAUUUAUAACAAUAAGAAUUCCAUAACACGUGGCGUUGCAUUUUCGCAAGCAGGGUUCAGAGAACUGCAGAGACACCAGACGAGACACCAGAAGAGACUCCUGUACGGCCGGGUGAUUGGGUGAGGUUGAAAGUUCACAAAAGAAAGUGGGCUGAACCCAGGUGGACGGGGCCGUGGGAAGUUGUUGAAAGAACUUCACACGCUCUCCGGAUAAAAGGUAAAAAAGGAGCAAAUUGGCACCACCUGACACAUUGUCGCCCUGCACAGGCACCUUCCAGAAAGCUCUUGGAAGUUAGGACUGAUUUGGCAGAGCUGGAACAAAACGAUGAAUAAAAAAUCAAAACAAGAGAUAUUAAGAUAGAAACAGCUCAAAAGACGAAUUGUCUUUAGGUUUUAGAGAUUGGAUACUAAAA